rnacentral:rRNA from 1 species
GACGAACGCUGGCGGCGUGCCUAAUACAUGCAAGUAGAACGCUGAAGGAGGAGCUUGCUUCUCCGGAUGAGUUGCGAACGGGUGAGUAACGCGUAGGUAACCUGCCUGGUAGCGGGGGAUAACUAUUGGAAACGAUAGCUAAUACCGCAUAACAGUAGAUAUCGCAUGAUAGCUGCUUGAAAGGUGCAAUUGCACCACUACCAGAUGGACCUGCGUUGUAUUAGCUAGUUGGUGAGGUAACGGCUCACCAAGGCGACGAUACAUAGCCGACCUGAGAGGGUGAUCGGCCACACUGGGACUGAGACACGGCCCAGACUCCUACGGGAGGCAGCAGUAGGGAAUCUUCGGCAAUGGACGGAAGUCUGAUCGAGCAACGCCGCGUGAGUGAAGAAGGUUUUCGGAUCGUAAAGCUCUGUUGUAAGAGAAGAACGAGUGUGAGAGUGGAAAGUUCACACUGUGACGGUAUCUACCAGAAAGGAC